GAGGUGGUCGAUUUAAGUCGGUAGAUUGUAAAUCUAUUUAUAAGCUGAACAGCUUUCUCA
rnacentral:tRNA from 1 species